GUCUCUGUAACUCGGUUGGUUAGAGCGCUGCACCGGAAUCGCAGGGCCGUAGGUUCAAUUCCUACCAGAGGACC